AUGGCAUUGUUGCUUGUCAUUGUAAUUUCCGAAGCUGGUGAAGCUCUUGAUUCAUACAUUCGGGCGCAUCCAGAGGUGCCUUAUGCCACACAGGUGGCCCACGUCGAGGUCCUGAAACGUGUCUCAUCGAUUCUCAAGAACCGUCGUUUUUUUCCUACUGGAGAAUGCAUCAACAUAGGAAACAUCUGCCCCUAUGAUCAACAAUCGUCCAGGUUGUCCGGUGAAGAGUUGCCCAACAAAUAUGAUGGGUAUGCUACAGCUGAGAAGGCUGCCAGAAUGAAACAACCUAGAGGAUGGAAGCUCGAACAUGCAAGGAGAAGCUUCAUCCCAUGCUUGAAAUCAGUGUUAUCAUCAUCCAAGUUGGAAGCAAGGGCAUCUCCCAUAUAUCCCUUGAUAGAAAUCAAAAGCAUGAGAGAGACUGAGGAAAUUUGGAAUAAAUCAGCAACCGAAGGAUCCUCUUCAAUUCCAAAUAAAAAUCUUGGUUUGUUGGGAAGAGUUCUGCAAUUAACAAGUAGUCAUCAAUCCAGAAGGCUAUUCGGUACUGCUGCAUCGACGGUCUUGAAACUUUUAAAGCAUGCAUGA
rnacentral:rRNA from 1 species